UAAUAAUAACCCACCGAAUCCCACCGCCAUUACUUCUCUCACGUGUCCAUUCCUUGGUUUUUAACUCUCAGCUUCAUCAUUCAUCUCUAUAUCCAAUUUCAUUCUUCUUUCUCUCAAAUUAUCAAAUUUCUCUCUUUAAACCAUCCACUCUUGGGGUCAAUUCCUCAUGUAAGCAAAGUUAUGUCUUAGUCUACAAGUGCUCUUUGGGUAUGAUUUUGGAGUUAAGAGUUAUUCUCUAUGAUUUUGAGAUUCGAUGAAAAUUGCUCCGGUGGGCAUUCCGGAAGGCAUUGCUAGGAACGGAGUUGAUUUGUCAUAGUUAUUCAAAGUCAGCUGAGUAGGGGUUUCUAGCAGAUAUUGAGAGUCGUCGGUGUCAUUCUUUUGGUAGGCUUCCUUGAUGAAAUGUUAUUUUGUAUAUGCAUAUUUUGAGUUGGUUGAGUAUCUGCAGCUAUUUGAGUCUAGGAAUAUAUUUAUUUUGUGAUGUAUAAAUUUUAAAUGUAUCAUUUCGAAACUCUGGCCGAGGAUGUAUUCUAUAAAACAGGUUUUAUUUUGAUUUUUGGAAACGUUGAAAAUACAGAGGAUAUUCUGUCGAAAUUUCAGUAAAUAUUAUUUUGAAGGAAUGGUCAAUUUGGAAAUUUGUUGA